rnacentral:rRNA from 1 species
UUCCGGUUGAUCCCGCCGGAGGUCAUUGCUAUUGGAGUCCGAUUUAGCCAUGCUAGUUGUACGAGUUUGUACUCGUAGCAGAUAGCUCAGUAACACGUGGCCAAACUACCCUAUGGAUCCGGACAACCUCGGGAAACUGAGGCUAAUCCGGAAUACGACUCUCAGCCUGGAAGUGGCGAGAGUCAGAAACGCUCCGGCGCCAUAGGAUGUGGCUGCGGCCGAUUAGGUAGACGGUGGGGUAACGGCCCACCGUGCCCAUAAUCGGUACGGGUUGUGAGAGCAAGAGCCCGGAGACGGUAUCUGAGACAAGAUACCGGGCCCUACGGGGCGCAGCAGGCGCGAAACCUUUACACUGCACGAAAGUGCGAUAAGGGGACUCCAAGUGCGAGGGCAUAUAGUCCUCGCUUUUCACUACCGUAAGGUGGUAGUAGAAUAAGUGCUGGGCAAGACCGGUGCCAGCCGCCGCGGUAAUACCGGCAGCACGAGUGAUGACCGCUCUUAUUGGGCCUAAAGCGUCCGUAGCUGGCCACGCAAGUCUAUCGGGAAAUCCGCGCGCUCAACGCGCGGGCGUCCGGUGGAAACUGUGGGCUUGGGACCGGAAGAUCCAGAGGGUACGUCCGGGGUAGGAGUGAAAUCCCGUAAUCCUGGACGGACCACCGGUGGCGAAAGCGCUCUGGAAAGACGGAUCCGACGGUGAGGGACGAAAGCUCGGGUCACGAACCGGAUUAGAUACCCGGGUAGUCCGAGCUGUAAACGAUGUCUGCUAGGUGUGCCACAGGCUACGAGCCUGUGGUGUGCCGUAGGGAAGCCGUGAAGCAGACCGCCUGGGAAGUACGUCCGCAAGGAUGAAACUUAAAGGAAUUGGCGGGGGAGCACUACAACCGGAGGAGCCUGCGGUUUAAUUGGAUUCAACGCCGGG